UGGUCUAACUUUUCCGUUUACCUCCUUCUUUACCGAGGUUUUCCAAUAUUUCAGGAUAACUCCCCGAAUGCUAUCCCCAAAUUCUAUCUUGUUCAUGUGUUGCUUUGAAUCCAUUUGCUUGAGCUGGGGAUUUACGCCCACGGCUCAUCUAUUCGUGACCUUUUUUCGUCUAGUCAGAGCAAGUAACCAUUUUUAUUACUUUUCCC
rnacentral:lncRNA from 1 species